UGCAGUCGACGGAUCCUUCGGGAUUAGUGGCAGACGGGUGAGUAACGCGUGGGAAGCUACCUUGUGGUAGGGGACAACAGUUGGAAACGACUGCUAAUACCCUAUGAGCCCUAUGGGGGAAAGAUUUAUCGCCAUGAGAUGUGCCCGCGUUAGAUUAGCUAGUUGGUAAGGUAAUGGCUUACCAAGGCGACGAUCUAUAGCUGGUCUGAGAGGAUGAUCAGCCACACUGGGACUGAGACACGGCCCAGACUCCUACGGGAGGCAGCAGUGGGGAAUAUUGGACAAUGGGGGCAACCCUGAUCCAGCCAUGCCGCGUGUGUGAUGACGGCCUUAGGGUUGUAAAGCACUUUCAGCAGUGAAGAUAAUGACAUUAACUGCAGAAGAAGCCCCGGCUAACUUCGUGCCAGCAGCCGCGGUAAUACGAAGGGGGCUAGCGUUGUUCGGAAUCACUGGGCGUAAAGAGUACGUAGGCGGACUGAUAAGUUAGGGGUGAAAUCCCAAGGCUCAACCUUGGAACUGCCUUUGAUACUGUCAGUCUUGAGAUCGAGAGAGGUGAGUGGAACUCCGAGUGUAGAGGUGAAAUUCGUAGAUAUUCGGAAGAACACCAGUGGCGAA
rnacentral:rRNA from 1 species